AGAUUAUAGAAUGGAUCAUGGUCUGUAGGUACCAGUGUUAGAUUAUAGAAUGGAUCAUGGUCUGUAGGUGUACCAGUGUUAGAUUAUAGAAUGGGUCAUGGUGUGUAGGGUACCAGUGCUUAGAUUAUAGAAUGGAUCAUGGUGUGUAGGGUACCAGUGUUAGAUUAUAGAAUGGGUCAUGGUGGUGUAGGGUACCAGUGUUAGAUUAUAGAAUGGAUCAUGGGUGUGUAGGGUACCAGUGUGUUAGAUUAUAGAAUGGAUCAUGGUCUGUAGGGUUACCAGUGUUAGAUUAUAGAAUGGAUCAUGGUGUGUGUAGGGUACCGUGUUAGUUUAUAGAAUGGAUCAUGGUCUGUAGGGUACCAGUGUUAGAUUAUAGAAUGGAUCAUGGUCUGUAGGGGACCAGUGUUAGAUUAUAGAAUGGAUCAUGGUCUGUAGGGUACCAGUGUUAGAUUAUAGAAUGGAUCAUGGUGUGUGUAGGGUACCAGUGUUAGAUUAUAGAAUGGAUCAUGGUGUGGUACCAGUGUUAGAUUAUAGAAUGGAUCAUGGUGUGGUACCAGUGUUAGAUUAUAGAAUGGAUCAUGGUGUGGUACCAGUGUUAGAUUAUAGAAUGGAUCAUGGUGUGUAGGGUACCAGUGUUAGAUUAUAGAAUGGAUCAUGGUGUGUAGGGUACCAGUGUUAGAUUAUAGAAUGGAUCAUGGUGUGUAGGGUACCAGUGUUAGAUUAUAGAAUGGAUCAUGGUGUGUAGGGUACCAGUGUUAGAUUAUAGAAUGGAUCAUGGUGUGUAGAGUACCAGUGUUAGAUUAUAGAAUGGAUCAUGGUGUGUAGGGUACCAGUGUUAGAUUAUAGAAUGGAUCAUGGUGUGUAGGGUACCAGUGUUAGAUUAUAGAAUGGAUCAUGGUCUGUAGGGUACCAGUGUUAGAUUAUAGAAUGGAUCAUGGUCUGUAGGGUACCAGUGUUAGAUUAUAGAAUGGAUCAUGGUGUGUAGGGUACCAGUGUUAGAUUAUAGAAUGGAUCAUGGUGUGUAGGGUACCAGUGUUAGAUUAUAGAAUGGAUCAUGGUGUGUAGGGUACCAGUGUUAGAUUAUAGAAUGGAUCAUGGUGUGUAGGGUACCAGUGUUAGAUUAUAGAAUGGAUCAUGGUGUGUAGGGUACCAGUGUUAGAUUAUAGAAUGGAUCAUGGUGUGUAGGGUACCAGUGUUAGAUUAUAGAAUGGAUCAUGGUCUGUAGGGUACCAGUGUUAGAUUAUAGAAUGGAUCAUGGUGUGUAGGGUACCAGUGUUAGAUUAUAGAAUGGAUCAUGGUCUGUAGGGUACCAGUGUUAGAUUAUAGAAUGGAUCAUGGUCUGUAGGGUACCAGUGUUAGAUUAUAGAAUGGAUCAUGGUCUGUAGGGUACCAGUGUUAGAUUAUAGAAUGGAUCAUGGUGUGUGUAGGGUACCAGUGUUAGAUUAUAGAAUGGGUCAUGGUGUGUAUGGUACCAGUGUUAGAUUAUAGAAUGGAUCAUGGUGUGUAGGGUACCAGUGUUAGAUUAUAGAAUGGAUCAUGGUGUGUAGGGUACCAGUGUUAGAUUAUAGAAUGGAUCAUGGUCUGUAGGGUACCAGUGUUAGAUUAUAGAAUGGAUCAUGGUCUGUAGGGUACCAGUGUUAGAUUAUAGAAUGGAUCAUGGUCUGUAGGGUACCAGUGUUAGAUUAUAGAAUGGAUCAUGGUCUGUAGGGUACCAGUGUUAGAUUAUAGAAUGGAUCAUGGUGUGUAGGGUACCAGUGUUAGAUUAUAGAAUGGAUCAUGGUCUGUAGGGUACCAGUGUUAGAUUAUAGAAUGGAUCAUGGUGUGUAGGGUACCAGUGUUAGAUUAUAGAAUGGAUCAUGGUCUGUAGGGUACCAGUGUUAGAUUAUAGAAUGGAUCAUGGUCUGUAGGGUACCAGUGUUAGAUUAUAGAAUGGAUCAUGGUCUGUAGGGUACCAGUGUUAGAUUAUAGAAUGGAUCAUGGUGUGUAGGGUACCAGUGUUAGAUUAUAGAAUGGAUCAUGGUAUGUAGGGUACCAGUGUUAGAUUAUAGAAUGGAUCAUGGUCUGUAGGGUACCAGUGUUAGAUUAUAGAAUGGAUCAUGGUGUGUAGGGUACCAGUGUUAGAUUAUAGAAUGGAUCAUGGUGUGUAGGGUACCAGUGUUAGAUUAUAGAAUGGAUCAUGGUGUGUAGGGUACCAGUGUUAGAUUAUAGAAUGGAUU
rnacentral:lncRNA from 1 species